rnacentral:rRNA from 1 species
GAUGAACGCUGGCGGCGUGCCUAAUACAUGCAAGUCGAGCGAACGGACGAGAAGCUUGCUUUUCUGAUGUUAGCGGCGGACGGGUGAGUAACACGUGGAUAACCUACCUAUAAGACUAGGAUAACUUCGGGAAACCGGAGCUAAUACCGGAUAAUAUUUUGAACCGCAUGGUUCAAAAGUGAAAGACGGUCUUGCUGUCACUUAUAGAUGGAUCCGCGCUGCAUUAGCUAGUUGGUAAGGUAACGGCUUACCAAGGCAACGAUGCAUAGCCGACCUGAGAGGGUGAUCGGCCACACUGGAAGUGAGAAACGGUCCAGACUCCUACGGGAGGCAGCAGUAGGGAAUCUUCCGCAAAGGGCGAAAGCCUGACGGAGCAACGCCGCGUGAGUGAUGAAGGUCUUCGGAUCGUAAAACUCUGUUAUUAGGGAAGAACAUAUGUGUAAGUAACUGUGCACAUCUUGACGGUACCUAAUCAGAAAGCCACGGCUAACUACGUG